rnacentral:rRNA from 1 species
GAUGAACGCCGGCGGUGUGCCUAAUACAUGCAAGUCGAGCGCACUGGCCCAACUGAUAUGAUGUGCUUGCACUGAAUUGACGUUGGAUUCCCAGUGAGCGGCGGACGGGUGAGUAACACGUGGGCAACCUGCCCUGAAGCAGGGGAUAACAUCUGGAAACAGGUGCUAAUACCGCAUAACAACGAAAAACCACAUGGUUUUCGUUUAAAGAUGGUUUCGGCUAUCACUUCAGGAUGGGCCCGCGGUGCAUUAGCUAGUUGGUAAGGUAACGGCUUACCAAGGCGAUGAUGCAUAGCCGAGUUGAGAGACUGAUCGGCCACAAUGGAACUGAGACACGGUCCAUACUCCUACGGAAGCAGCAGUAGGAAUCUUCCACAAUGGGCGCAAGCCUGAUGGAGCAACACCGCGUGAGUGAAGAAGGGUUUC